rnacentral:pre_miRNA from 1 species
UUUCUACUACCUCCGUCCGGAAAUGCUUGUCCUAGAAAUGGAUGUAUCUAGACUUAUUUUAGUUAUAGAUACAUCCAUUUUAUUCAUUUAUAAGACAAGUAUUUUCGGACGGAGGG